UACCACCCUUUAAUGUUUGAUGUUCUAACGUGGACCCGUGAUCCGGGUUGCGGACAGUGUCUGGUGGGUAGUUUGACUGGGGCGGUCUCCUCCUAAAGAGUAACGGAGGAGCACGAAGGUUGGCUAAUCCUGGUCGGACAUCAGGAGGUUAGUGCAAUGGCAUAAGCCAGCUUGACUGCGAGCGUGACGGCGCGAGCAGGUGCGAAAGCAGGUCAUAGUGAUCCGGUGGUUCUGAAUGGAAGGGCCAUCGCUCAACGGAUAAAAGGUACUCCGGGGAUAACAGGCUGAUACCGCCCAAGAGUUCAUAUCGACGGCGGUGUUUGGCACCUCGAUGUCGGCUCAUCACAUCCUGGGGCUGAAGUAGGUCCCAAGGGUAUGGCUGUUCGCCAUUUAAAGUGGUACGCGAGCUGGGUUUAGAACGUCGUGAGACAGUUCGGUCCCUAUCUGCCGUGGGCGCUGGAGAACUGAGGGGGGCUGCUCCUAGUACGAGAGGACCGGAGUGGACGCAUCACUGGUGUUCGGGUUGUCAUGCCAAUGGCACUGCCCGGUAGCUAAAUGCGGAAGAGAUAAGUGCUGAAAGCAUCUAAGCACGAAACUUGCCCCGAG
rnacentral:rRNA from 1 species